CCCUUAGAUGUUCUGGGCUGCACGCGCGCUACACUGACACUAUCAACGAGUGCUCCUGGUUUGAAAGGAUCGGGUAAUCUUUUGAAAUGGUGUCGUGAUGGGGAUAGAUCAUUGCAAUUAUUGAUCUUGAACGAGGAAUUCCUAGUAAAUGUGAGUCAUCAGCUCACGUUGAUUACGUCCCUGCCCUUUGUACACACCGCCCGUCGCUCCUACCGAUUGAGUGAACCGAUGAGUAGUCCGGAUUGCGAUCGACCUCGGUUAAUCGCGAGAAGUUCCGCAAAUCACGUCACUUAGAGGAAGGAGAAGUCGUAACA
rnacentral:rRNA from 1 species